UACGGAGGGUGCAAGCGUUGCUCGGAAUCACUGGGCGUAAAGCGACCGCAGGCGGCCUGACAAGUCGGAUGUGAAAGCCCUGGGCUCAACUCAGGAACUGCAUUCGAAACUGGUAGGCUCGAGUACGGGAGAGGGGGGUGGAAUUCCUGGUGUAGGGGUGAAAUUCGUUGAUAUCAGGAGGAACACCGGCGGCGAAGGCGGCCCCCUGGCCCGCAACUGACGCUGAGGUGCGAAAGCGUGGGGAGCAAACAGG
rnacentral:rRNA from 1 species